rnacentral:rRNA from 1 species
UACAGAGGUCUCAAGCGUUGUUCGGAUUCAUUGGGCGUAAAAGGGGUGUGUAGGUGGCGCCGUAAGUCGGGUGUGAAAUUUCGGAGCUUAACUCCGAAACUGCAUUCGAUACUGCGGUGCUUGAGGACUGGAGAGGAGACUGGAAUUCAUGGUGUAGCAGUGAAAUGCGUAGAGAUCAUGAGGAAGACCAGUGGCGAAGGCGGGUCUCUGGACAGUUCCUGACACUGAGACACGAAGGCCAGGGGAGCAAACGGG